rnacentral:rRNA from 3 species
UUGAUCUCAAAUCAGGUAGGAGUACCCGCUGAACUUAAGCAUAUCA